UAGUAUUCAAUUGUCAGAGGUGAAAUUCUUGGAUUUAUUGAAGACUAACUACUGCGAAAGCAUUUGCCAAGGAUGUUUUCAUUAAUCAAGAACGAAAGUUAGGGGAUCGAAGACGAUCAGAUACCGUCGUAGUCUUAACCAUAAACUAUGCCGACUAGGGAUCGGAUGAUGUUAAUUUUAUAAUGACUCA
rnacentral:rRNA from 1 species